GGGAUUUGCCAUUGGCAAUGGACUGACAGAUCCUGCAAUCCAGUACCAAGCAUAUACAGAUUACGCAUUGGACAAUGGAAUAAUUUAGGAAUCUGACUCCAAGAGUAUUAACAAAUUGCUUCCAGCUUGUGAAACGGCAAUAAAGUUUUGUGGUACCGAUGGAAAAAUUGCAUGCAUGGCAUCAUACUAUAUUUGCACCAACAUAUUCAAUAAGAUCAUGGCAAUUGCCAGUAAUAUCAAUUAUUAUGAUUAAAGAAAGAAGUGUGAGGGGAACC